AAGCCGCGAAUGGCUCAUUACAACAGCCGUGGUUUCUUGGAUCUCCUAAUUUACUUGGAUAACUGUGGUAAUUCUAGAGCUAAUACACGCAUUCAAGCUCUGACCUUACGGGAUGAGCGCAUUUAUUAGAACAAAACCAAUCGGGCUUCGGCCCGUACUUGGUGACUCUGAAUAACUACGCUGAUCGCAUGGUCUCGAACCGGCGACAAUUCCUUCAAGUGUCUGCCUUAUCAACUGUCGAUGGUAGUUUAUGUGCCUACCAUGGUUGUAACGGGUAACGGAGAAUAAGGGU
rnacentral:rRNA from 1 species